rnacentral:rRNA from 1 species
UUCCGGUUGAUCCUGCCGGAGGCCAUUGCUAUCGGAGUCCGAUUUAGCCAUGCUAGUUGCGCGGGUUAGACCCGCAGCGGAAAGCUCAGUAACACGUGGCCAAGCUACCCUGUGGAUGGGAACAAUCUCGGGAAACUGAGGCUAAUUCCCAAUAACGCUCCACCCCUGGAAUGGGUGGAGCCGGAAACGCUCCGGCGCCACAGGAUGCGGCUGCGGCCGAUUAGGUAGACGGUGGGGUAACGGCCCACCGUGCCCAUAAUCGGUACGGGUUGUGAGAGCAAGAGCCCGGAGACGGAAUCUGAGACAAGAUUCCGGGCCCUACGGGGCGCAGCAGGCGCGAAACCUUUACACUGUACGAAAGUGCGAUAAGGGGACUCCGAGUGUGAAGGCAUAGAGCCUUCACUUUUGUACACCGUAAGGUGGUGUACGAAUAAGGGCUGGGCAAGACCGGUGCCAGCCGCCGCGGUAAUACCGGCAGCCCGAGUGAUGGCCGAUAUUAUUGGGCCUAAAGCGUCCGUAGCUGGCCGGACAAGUCCGUUGGGAAAUCUGCUCGCUUAACGAGCAGGCGUCCAGCGGAAACUGUUCGGCUUGGGACCGGAAGACCUGAGGGGUACGUCCGGGGUAGGAGUGAAAUCCCGUAAUCCUGGACGGACCACCGGUGGCGAAAGCGCCUCAGGAAGACGGAUCCGACAGUGAGGGACGAAAGCUAGGGUCUCGAACCGGAUUAGAUACCCGGGUAGUCCUAGCUGUAAACGAUGCCCGCUAGGUGUGGCGCAGGCUACGAGCCUGCGCUGUGCCGUAGGGAAGCCGAGAAGCGGGCCGCCUGGGAAGUACGUCUGCAAGGAUGAAACUUAAAGGAAUUGGCGGGGGAGCACUACAACCGGAGGAGCCUGCGGUUUAAUUGGAUUCAACGCCGGAGGGGGAGCACUACAACCGGAGGAGCCUGCGGUUUAAUUGGAUUCAACGCCGGA